AUUGAACGCUGGCGGCAGGCCUAACACAUGCAAGUCGAGCGGCAGCGGGAAGUAGCUUGCUACUUUGCCGGCGAGCGGCGGACGGGUGAGUAAUGUCUGGGAAACUGCCCGAUGGAGGGGGAUAACUACUGGAAACGGUAGCUAAUACCGCAUAACGUCGCAAGACCAAAGAGGGGGACCCUCGGGCCUCUUGCCAUCGGAUGUGCCCAGAUGGGAUUAGCUAGUAGGGGGGGUAACGGCUCCCCUAGGCGACGAUCCCUAGCUGGUCUGAGAGGAUGACCAGCCACACUGGAACUGAGACACGGUCCAGACUCCUACGGGAGGCAGCAGUGGGGAAUAUUGCACAAUGGGCGCAAGCCUGAUGCAGCCAUGCCGCGUGUAUGAAGAAGGCCUUCGGGUUGUAAAGUACUUUCAGCGGGGAGGAAGGUGUUGAGGUUAAUAACCUCAGCAAUUGACGUUACCCGCAGAAGAAGCACCGGCUAACUCCGUGCCAGCCGCCGCCGUAA
rnacentral:rRNA from 1 species